GGGUGAGUAACACGUAUGCAACCUGCCCCUGUCAGGGGGACAACCCGCCGAAAGGCGGGCUAAACCCGCGUACAUGCCACCGGGGCAUCCCGGAGGCAGGAAAGGCUUCGGCCGGACAGGGAUGGGCAUGCGGCGCAUUAGGCAGUAGGCGGGGUAACGGCCCACCUAACCGACGAUGCGGAGGGGUUCUGAGAGGAAGGUCCCCCACACUGGUACUGAGACACGGACCAGACUCCUACGGGAGGCAGCAGUGAGGAAUAUUGGUCAAUGGUCGGGAGACUGAACCAGCCAAGCCGCGUGAGGGAUGAAGGUACAGAGUAUCGUAAACCUCUUUUGUCAGGGAACAAAGGCGGGGACGUGUCCCCGGAUGAGUGUACCUGAAGAAAAAGCAUCGGCUAACUCCGUGCCAGCAGCCGCGGUAAUACGGAGGAUGCGAGCGUUAUCCGGAUUUAUUGGGUUUAAAGGGUGCGCAGGCGGUCUGUUAAGUCAGCGGUCAAAGCCCGGGGCUCAACCCCGGCCCGCCGUUGAAACUGGCAGUCUCGAGUUGGAGAGAAGUAUGCGGAAUGCGCGGUGUAGCGGUGAAAUGCAUAGAUAUCGCGCAGAACUCCGAUUGCGAAGGCAGCAUGCCGGCUCCACACUGACGCUGAGGCACGAAAGCGUGGGUAUCGAACAGGAUUAGAUACCCUGGUAGUCCACGCAGUAAACGAUG
rnacentral:rRNA from 1 species